CGUCAGCGCGUUGCCGCUGGGAGGCUCCGCCCCCAAGCGCUAAGCUCGGCCCCCAAGCGGUGACUGCUUGGCUUGGCCCUUACCUGCAGAGUGGGCAGCAGGAAGGCUGGCUGUUUUAACUCCAAGGUCACUUUAGGACUGUGAGGAUGCCUCCAUUGGAACUGGGUUCCACCACUCUGCAUGUUGAUUGGUUUCCUGUGGUGGUCACCGUGGAGGAGGACCUUCCUUCAUGAGUGGUGAAUACCAUACAUACUUUUUCCUGGUGUUGGAUAUCAAAGCUGUGAGCUUUGGAGAAGUCUGCGUGUCUGUAUAGUGGUUUUUGUAACUGUAUAUUAACCAUCCUUUCAUCCCUACCAUUGACUUAACAGUUAUUCUUAUAAGUAGGACAAGAGGUGGCUUAAUUUUUAUAUACAUUUAUAUUCCUAAU